rnacentral:rRNA from 1 species
UAAAUACUCCCGAGAGACCGAUAGCGAACCAGUACCGUGAGGGAAAGGUGAAAAGAACCCCGAGCAGGGGAGUGAAAUAGACCCUGAACCCGUCUGCCUACAAGCGGUCGGAGCGUCGUAAUGACGUGACGGCGUGCCUUUUGCAUAAUGAACCUACGAGUUACCUUCCCCGGCAAGGUUAAGUACCUAAGGUACGGAGCCGAAGCGAAAGCGAGUCUGAACAGGGCGCCAAGUCGGGGGGGGUAGACGCGAAACCGAGUGAUCUACCCUUGGCCAGGUUGAAGGUUGGGUAACACCAACUGGAGGACCGGAUGGGUAAGCGUUGAAAAGCUUUCCAAUGAGCUGAGGGUAGGGGUGAAAGGCUAAUCAAACUCGGAGAUAGCUCGUACUCCCCGAAAUGCAUUUAGGUGCAGCCUCUUUAUAGUAUAUCGUGAGGUAGAGCGACUGAUUGGAUGCGAGGGCUUCACCGCCUAUCAAGUCCAGAUAAACUCCGAAUGCGCGAUAUAUAUUUACAGGGAGUGAGGGCGCGGGUGCUAAGGUCCGUGUCCGAGAGGAGAAGAAUCCAGACCACCGGCUAAGGCCCCCAAAUGAUCGUUAAGUUGAACUAACGAGGUCGGAUCGCAGAGACAGCUAGGAUGUUGGCUUGGAAGCAGCCAUUCAUUUAAAGAGUGCGUAACAGCUCACUAGUCGAGCGAUCUGGCGUGGAUAAUAAUCGGGCAUAAACGAUCUGCCGAAGCCGUGGAUGUCGCAAGACAUGGUAGGGGAGCAUUCCAUGCCGCGUCGAAGAUGAGGGAUGACCCUUGUUGGAGCGCAUGGAAAAGCAAAUGUAGGUAUGAGUAACGAUAAGGGGGGCGAGAAACCCCCCCGCCGAAAGACCAAGGUUUCCUGAUCAACGCUAAUCGGAUCAGGGUGAGUCGGGACCUAAGGCAAAGCCGAACGGCGCCGCCGAUGGAAGAAUGGGUUAAUAUUCCCAUACUGCCUCAUGGAGUGACGUGGAGACGGAGAAGUGACAGUCCUGCCGGCUGACGGAAUAGCCGGUUGAAGGGUGUAGAUAUUGAUUCCCGUAGGCAAAUCCGCGGGGAGAGUCGAACCUGAGAGUAUACGGAGCGCUUGCGCAACGUAAUAUGGACGUAACCAUGCUCCCGAGAAAAUCCGCUAAACUUAUCCAUGCGGCACCCGUACCGUAAACGGACACACGUGGUCGGGUUGAGAAUACUGAGGCGCUCGAGUGAUUCACGGUUAAGGAACUAGGCAAAUUGACCCUGUAACUUCGGGAUAAAGGGUCCCCACUGCGAGGUGGGGCGCAGAGAAUCGGUCCAGGCAACUGUUUAACAAAAACACAGGGCUAUGCCAAAUUGAAAGAUGAAGUAUAUAGCCUGACACCUGCCCGGUGCUGGAAGGUUAAGAGGAGAUGUCAUCGCAAGAGAAGCAUUGAAUUGAAGCCCCAGUAAACGGCGGCCGUAACUAUAACGGUCCUAAGGUAGCGAAAUUCCUUGUCGGGUAAGUUCCGACCUGCACGAAUGGUGUAAUGAUCUGGACACUGUCUCAACCGUGAGCUCAGUGAAAUUGUAGUAUCGGUGAAGAUGCCGAUUACCCGCGAUGGGACGAAAAGACCCCGUGAACCUUUACUAUAGCUUAACAUUGAAUUUGGGUAAUUGAUGUGUAGGAUAGGCCGGAGGCUUUGAAGCAGGUACGCCAGUAUUUGUGGAGCCGCUGUUGAAAUACGGCCCUUUGGUUAUUUGAGUUCUAACUCGCUGUUGCGAGGACACUGUUUGGUGGGUAGUUUGACUGGGGUGGUCGCCUCCAAAAAUGUAACGGAGGCUUCUAAAGGUGCCCUCACGCCGAUUGGUAACCGGCGGCAGAGUGUAAUGGCAUAAGGGCGCUUGACUGGGAGACUUACAAGUCGAUCAGGUAGGAAACUAGAGCAUAGUGAUCCGGUGUUUCCGUAUGG